GUUCCGUUCAGAGAGUCGUCUCACUCACUCACUCAACCGCCUCUCACCAGUGAACACGGAGUUUUCUCUGGACGAAAAGCAACUCAACAAGCACCCAGUGAACAACAGGAUCACAAAGAAGCUGGCCGGCCGCUGCAGGGGGACAGCUCUCUGGGUGACCUCCAUCGGCAAUGAGGUCGGCCAGAUACUGACCAGUGUCCUGACGGUGCAGGAGCGGCCGGGACUGGACGUGAUGGUCUCCGGAGUGUCUGUGUUGGAUGCGUACCCUAGAACUCGCAGGAAUACAGGACUGGUACCUCUGUAGUAUCCUUAAGAGAGGCAGCGGCCCCCGAGGGCCACCAGUAUGUACGAUUCCCGUCAACAUACUGUAGCCUUGUGUCCGGGUUGAGCUGGCGGGACUCGAGUGGAGUUGGCCGAACUUCACGUUGAUCCACAUCUCCGGUGGAUGACGAAUCUCAAAAAACGUGCACGGGUUCUUAUUUUCUCCUCCUCCCCCUUUAAGUUGGUGGAGGAGUCUGAGUCGCUUGCUCCUUGACCCCGAGCCAAUGAGCGGUUCAAUUGUGUUUAGAUUAGAAUAGAAUAAAAUAGAAUAUAGAAUACAAUAUAGAAUAGGUAGGUAGGUAUUCCUUUAUUAGUCCCACUGUGGGGAAAUUUCAAAAUCCCAAAAGUUUAGAAUGAAUUAUUUUGUAUGUGUUGCAUCUUCAAAUUCACUGAUUCUUCUUUCAGUUUUGUACAUCACGCUUUGGUGGGUCAAAGUCGGCCUCACUAAAGACACAUUUAGUGGCUAGGAGGACCCCCAGCCCUUCUCCUCCUCCUCCUUUCAUAUCCUCUGUGAGGACACCCAGCAGCCCUACUGGGAACUAUGGCAUUGCAGAAGAUGCUACACCGGGGAGGAAUCAGCCGGUGGCUGAAGGAGCUGUGCAGAGCUGAGAGAGUGUCCUGCAUGGGGUGGGAGGCGUGGUUCAUCAGAGACGAGAGCUUUGCCAUCAUCCUCCCGUCCCCCACCACCUCCACAGUAUCCAGAGGACACCCAGCACGCUGCUGGCCUUCUUUAGCAGCUUGUUCAGCCUCUUCCUGUCAGCCGCUGCCAUGCUGCUGCUGCUCCAGAAGACCACUCCAUAGAAGAUGGCUGAUGCCACCACAGAGUUAAAGAAGGUCUUCAGCAGUGCUCCCUGCACUCCAGAGGACCUCAGUCUCCUCAGCAGAAAGAGUCUGCUCUGUCCCUUUUGAUAGAGUGCGUGUGCGUGGGCAGUCCAGUCCAGUUUGUGUUUCAGGUGAACACCCAGGUCCUUAUAAGAUUUUACAAUCUCAAUGUCCAGUCCCUCGAUGCUCACUGGUACCGGAGGAGAGCGUUUACCACAGCGGAAGUCCACCACUCGGUCUUACUAGAGUUGAUGUGGAUUUGAGAGAUGUUUGUAAGUUUACUGUACAAAAGGCUAACAAAGGGAUUAAAAGAAGAUGUAUUUCUGUUGGAGGAGUCCAAUUUUGGACUAAUGUUGAAAUGGAUGUAAGAAUGGUGAACUCCUUUUUGGUUUUCAAGAGAAUUAUUUAUAGAACAAUUCUUGAGUUAUAAAUGUGAUUAAUGUGACCGAAACACAGGUGGCGGCGCGACUCUGCCUGUCUGACCGACAUCUCUCAGUGGAUGUCUGCUCACCACCUGAAAAUCAACCCUGACAAGACCGAGCUACUAUUCCUUCCAGGGAAAGGCUCCCCCACCCACGACCUGACUACCACCUUCAACAGCUCUGUGUUGGCCCCUACCCUGACUGCCAGGAACCUCGGGGUGACACUAGACAGUCAACUCUCCCUGACAGCCAACAUCACUGCGACGACGCGUUCCUGUAGGUACAUGCUGCACAACAUCAGGAGAAUACGGCCUCUUCUUACUCAGAAGGCGGCACAGGUUCUGGUCCAGGCUCUGGUCAUUUCGCGCCUUGACUACUGCAACUCCCUCCUGGCUGGUCUACCUGCUAAGGCCAUCCGACCUCUGCAGCUCAUCCAGAAUGCAGCAGCUCGACUGGUCUUCAGCCUCCCGAAAUUCACCCACACCACUCCGCUCCUCCGCGCUCUCCACUGGUUACCGGUGGCUGCUCGCAUCCGCUUCAAAACACUGGUUCUGGCGUACCGUGCUCUGAACGGAUCGGGCCCCGUCUACAUUCGGGAUAUGGUCACACCGUACACCCCGGCACGUUCGCUCCGCUCGGCAACAGCCAAUCGACUUGUGCCUCCUGCACCUCGAGCUAACCACUCGAAAUCCAGACUGUUUGUUGUCCUGGCUCCUCAGUGGUAGAACAAGCUCCCCACUGACAUCAGGACAGCAGAAAGUCUCAACAUCUUCCGCCGGAGACUGAAAACACACCUUUUCCGACUAUAUCUGGAUUAAAACACAGAUUUGCACUUCAGUGGCACUUAAAUAGCUCUUAUUGUGGUACUUUUGUAGUUCGACUAUGUUGAAGAAAUGUUACUUACUGUAUUCUUGUUGUUCUUUGUUUAUACUCUAGGUUGAAAUGCACUUAUUGUAAGUCGCUUUGGAUAAAAGCGUCUGCUAAAUGACAUGUAAUGUAAAAUGUAUUUAUAUGGAAGAUGUAUGUGAAAGUAUGUGUGUAUAUAUAUAUAUAUAUAGUUUUAUUUUUUAUUUUCUUUGAUAUUUUUUCUUUAUUUUACAUACAUUUUCUGAUUUAUUUGAUAUUAAUUUAGGAUAGGAAUACAUAAGCAUUUUUUUCUUCUACCUAUACCUUUUCAGUCUUUCUGUUUUGUAUAUUAUAUAGAAUAAUAUUGUAUUUGAUUGACUGAAUAAAAUACACAACACACAUGGUGUAUGAAACUUCUAAAGAAAUGUCUGAGUGACCGUCAAUUAUUAAAUAUUAUAAAAUUA